AAGCGGUGGCAGCGCGGCCCCUCCUCGGCCACCAGCACGUUACCGCAGGCCGGGCAGAACAGCAGCAUCGCCGCUUCCGCCGGCCCGGCCGCCCCUUCCGGCGAUGGCGGCGGAGCCCGAGGAGGAGCUGGCGCACGCCGAGGUGCUGGAGCUGUUCCAGGCGGCGCUGGCGCGGCUGGUGCAGGACCCGCUGCUCUGCGACCUCCCGCCGCAGGUGACGGCGGAGGAGAUCGGCUCGCAGGUGGCGCUGGAGUACGGGCAGGCCAUGACCGUGCGCGUCUGCAAGGCGGACGGCGAGAUCGUGCCCGUGGUGGUGGUGCAGAACGCCUCGGUGCUGGACCUGAAGAAGGCGCUGCGGCGGCACGUCCAGCUGCGGCAGGCCCGGCAGGGCGGCGUGCAGCACCUCAGCUGGAAGUACAUAUGGAGGACGUACCACUUAACCUACGCUGGAGAGAAGCUGGCAGAUGACAGAAAGAAGCUGAGAGAGUACGGCAUCAGAAACCGGGAUGAGGUCAGCUUCAUAAAGAAACUUCGGAAGUAACCUGUUAGUGUAAUAAACCAUGUGUCGUGAGAGAAGCCACCCACCCCACGGUCACCUGUGGCACUGGCCGAUCCCCCUGGACUGUCCAGAGAGAGCAGAGAAUCCAGCCCUACCACGACCAGGCUGUGGAUCCAGCACGUUCUGGAGGAAAAGGUUGUAACAUUUCAAGGAGAAACAAACUCCAGGGGAAUGGACAUUCUCACGUGUUUCUUGCAGUUUGCUGUUUGAAGUGUCUGAUUCUGAGCUGUACGUGGAGUGGACUUUCACGAUUAAAGAGACCUUCUAGUUU